AUGCUAUUAGAGCGGACAAAUCAAGGCAUACUAAACCAAGGGGUCAUUGACGAGGUGGCAGAGCUUUGUCAAGUUAAUUACCGGACUGUUCAAAACAUAUGGUCGAGAGGCAAGAAAGCCGGUGGUAUUCAUGGAGUACCAAACAAAAGGGUGAAAACUUGUGGCCGCAAGAAGAUACCGUUUGAUUCAGAUGCCAUAAAAAAGAUUGAAUUGAGCAAAAGAACUACGCUCAAAGAUCUUGCUAAUGAGCUUCAAAUGGCGAAGACAACUUUAUGGAGAAGGUUGAAGGAGGGCAGACUAAAGCGCCAUACAAAUUCAAUUAAAUCCACAUUGACUGAUGACAACAAGGUAGGUCGGAUUCAGUUUUGUUUAUCCAUGUUGGAUGAGCUAAGUGUGCCUGAAGAACCCAGAUUUAAAGGCAUGUACAAUGUCAUUCAUAUUGAUGAGAAGUGGUUCUACCGCACUAAAGGUACUCAGAACUACUACUUGGCACCUGAUGAAGAAGAACCCUAUCGCAGCACACAGAGCAAGGGAUUUAUCGAGAAAGUGAUGUUCUUGGCAGCAGUAGCAAGGCCUCGUUAUGAUGAUCAUGGUGUCAUGACAUUUGAUGGCAAGAUUGGAAUUUGGCCAUUCACAUAUCAGGACUUUGCAAAGAGGCGUAGCCCUUACCGAGAGAGGGGGGAAGAGGUAACCAAGGUUUUGCCGUCGGUGACGAAGGAUGUUAGUAGAGAUUAUAUGGUGAACAAGCUUCUACCUGCCAUCAAGGCUUUGUGGCCGGCUUCGGAACGCGGACGCAUAAUAUACAUUCAGCAAGAUAAUGCAAAGACCCAUAUUGCUGUGAAUGACAGUGUGUUUUGUGCAGCGGCACAGGCGGAUGGAUGGGAUAUUAGGCUUACAUGUCAGCCGCCGAACUCACCUGAUUUGAACAUUCUUGACUUUGGGUUCUUUGCGGCACUUCAGGCUCUUUUUGAGAAGAUGUCCCUUGGUAAAAUUGUUGAUAUUGUUGCAAAGGUGAAAAAAGCAUAUGACACGUACCCGGCUGAGAGAAGCAACCGUAUUUUUCUUACCCUUCAGUCAUGCAUGUGCGAGGUACUGAAGCAGAAAGGAGGUAACCGGUACAAGGUUCCGCAAAUGAGGAAGUCAUUUCUGGCGGCACUCAAAAUGCUUACGGACUUAGUACCCUGCGAUGCUGAUGUUGUAAUUGCUGCUAUUGAAUCCCUUCCAGAUGCUUGA
rnacentral:rRNA from 1 species